GCUCAGGAUGAACGCUAGCUACAGGCUUAACACAUGCAAGUCGAGGGGUAGCAGGGUAGCAAUACCGCUGACGACCGGCGCACGGGUGAGUAACGCGUAUCCAACCUUCCCAUAACUCGGGGAUAGCCUUUCGAAAGAAAGAUUAAUACCCGAUAGUACUUUAUUAAGGCAUCUUAAGAAAGUUAAAGAUUUAUUGGUUAUGGAUGGGGAUGCGUUCCAUUAGAUAGUUGGUGAGGUAACGGCUCACCAAGUCUUCGAUGGAUAGGGGUUCUGAGAGGAAGGUCCCCCACAUUGGUACUGAGACACGGACCAAACUCCUACGGGAGGCAGCAGUGAGGAAUAUUGGUCAAUGGGCGAGAGCCUGAACCAGCCAA
rnacentral:rRNA from 1 species